UUGAACGCUGGCGGCAGGCCUAACACAUGCAAGUCGAACGGUAACAGGAAACAGCUUGCUGUUUCGCUGACGAGUGGCGGACGGGUGAGUAAUGUCUGGGAAACUGCCUGAUGGAGGGGGAUAACUACUGGAAACGGUAGCUAAUACCGCAUAACGUCGCAAGACCAAAGAGGGGGACCUUCGGGCCUCUUGCCAUCGGAUGUGCCCAGAUGGGAUUAGCUUGUUGGUGGGGUAACGGCUCACCAAGGCGACGAUCCCUAGCUGGUCUGAGAGGAUGACCAGCCACACUGGAACUGAGACACGGUCCAGACUCCUACGGGAGGCAGCAGUGGGGAAUAUUGCACAAUGGGCGCAAGCCUGAUGCAGCCAUGCCGCGUGUAUGAAGAAGGCCUUCGGGUUGUAAAGUACUUUCAGCGGGGAGGAAGGGAGUAAAGUUAAUACCUUUGCUCAUUGACGUUACCCGCAGAAGAAGCACCGGCUAACUCCGUGCCAGCAGCCGCGGUAAUACGGAGGGUGCAAGCGUUAAUCGGAAUUACUGGGCGUAAAGCGCACGCAGGCGGUUUGUUAAGUCAGAUGUGAAAUCCCCGGGCUCAACCUGGGAACUGCAUCUGAUACUGGCAAGCUUGAGUCUCGUAGAGGGGGGUAGAAUUCCAGGUGUAGCGGUGAAAUGCGUAGAGAUCUGGAGGAAUACCGGUGGCGAAGGCGGCCCCCUGGACGAAGACUGACGCUCAGGUGCGAAAGCGUGGGGAGCAAACAGGAUUAGAUACCCUGGUAGUCCACGCCGUAAACGAUGUCGACUUGGAGGUUGUGCCCUUGAGGCGUGGCUUCCGGAGCUAACGCGUUAAGUCGACCGCCUGGGGAGUACGGCCGCAAGGUUAAAACUCAAAUGAAUUGACGGGGGCCCGCACAAGCGGUGGAGCAUGUGGUUUAAUUCGAUGCAACGCGAAGAACCUUACCUGGUCUUGACAUCCACGGAAGUUUUCAGAGAUGAGAAUGUGCCUUCGGGAACCGUGAGACAGGUGCUGCAUGGCUGUCGUCAGCUCGUGUUGUGAAAUGUUGGGUUAAGUCCCGCAACGAGCGCAACCCUUAUCCUUUGUUGCCAGCGGUCCGGCCGGGAACUCAAAGGAGACUGCCAGUGAUAAACUGGAGGAAGGUGGGGAUGACGUCAAGUCAUCAUGGCCCUUUCGACCAGGGCUACACACGUGCUACAAUGGCGCAUACAAAGAGAAGCGACCUCGCGAGAGCAAGCGGACCUCAUAAAGUGCGUCGUAGUCCGGAUUGGAGUCUGCAACUCGACUCCAUGAAGUCGGAAUCGCUAGUAAUCGUGGAUCAGAAUGCCACGGUGAAUACGUUCCCGGGCCUUGUACACACCGCCCGUCACACCAUGGGAGUGGGUUGCAAAAGAAGUAGGUAGCUUAACCUUCGGGAGGGCGCUUACCACUUUGUGAUUCAUGACUGGGGUG
rnacentral:rRNA from 1 species